rnacentral:lncRNA from 1 species
AGUUGAAAUAUAAAAAGCAAUUCAUUUGUUUUUAAGCUUUAUUUUAUCACCCUUAUCAAACAAACACACAUCAAAAAGCAUAUCAACAGUGCAUCUUAUGGUAAGUCAGUUUACAACAAAACUGAACAAGGCAAUCGUGUUUACAGAUAAAGUUUUCAGCAAAAAAACUAUAUGCAAUUCAGUUAAUUGAAAUGCUGUGUCCAUACAUUUUUAGCAUAUAGGAAAGUGGAAAAUAAAAGUUCUUUGCUACUCAGCAAGAAAAAACAUGUUUAAAAGACUUGAAUAGAAAUCAGAAAUAUAGAGAUUUGAGAAAAGAAUUUCUUGGUACUGAUACACAUCUACAUUUAUAGUCCCACUCAGUUAUUUUUUUUUUUUAAUCACAAAAAAAUAAGACAUCACCGAGAACAGAGAACCAUAGUGCCAAGAAAUGCCAAGAAAUACCACUGAAACAACUGGUAGAAAUGUUACAGACAGCUGUUGUGUACUGUAAUAUUCUUGUAGUUCUGAGGUGAAGGUAAACCAACAGGAGAGAAUACUCCUUAUAACUGGCUUUGGUUUAAGUGAUCGUUCACAUUUUUCUAACCAUACCUUCUAAGCAAGAACACAGCUAUUACAUGUUAUUGAGGGAAAACAGUAGUAGGUUUUAAUAUUCACAACCAACCACUCCAGUGCCGAUACAGGAAGCCAUAAAUUCUCAAAAUCUAUUGAUUGUAACUGGAUU